GUGGACGCCAGUCUGCAUGGAGCCGACCUUGAAAUACCACCCUUUAAUGUUUGAUGUUCUAACGUGGAUCCGUAAUCCGGGUUGCGGACAGUGUCUGGUGGGUAGUUUGACUGGGGCGGUCUCCUCCUAAAGAGUAACGGAGGAGCACGAAGGUUGGCUAAUCCUGGUCGGACAUCAGGAGGUUAGUGCAAUGGCAUAAGCCAGCUUGACUGCGAGCGUGACGGCGCGAGCAGGUGCGAAAGCAGGUCAUAGUGAUCCGGUGGUUCUGAAUGGAAGGGCCAUCGCUCAACGGAUAAAAGGUACUCCGGGGAUAACAGGCUGAUACCGCCCAAGAGUUCAUAUCGACGGCGGUGUUUGGCACCUCGAUGUCGGCUCAUCACAUCCUGGGGCUGAAGUAGGUCCCAAGGGUAUGGCUGUUCGCCAUUUAAAGUGGUACGCGAGCUGGGUUUAGAACGUCGUGAGACAGUUCGGUCCCUAUCUGCCGUGGGCGCUGGAGAACUGAGGGGGGCUGCUCCUAGUACGAGAGGACCGGAGUGGACGCAUCACUGGUGUUCGGGUUGUCAUGCCAAUGGCACUGCCCGGUAGCUAAAUGCGGAAGAGAUAAGUGCUGAAAGCAUCUAAGCACGAAACUUGCCCCGAGAUGAGUUCUCCCUGAGACUUAGAGUCUCCUGAAGGAACGUUGAAGACGACGACGUUGAUAGGCCGGGUGUGUAAGCGCAGCGAUGCGUUGAGCUAACCGGUACUAAUGAACCGUGAGGCUUAACCUUACAACGCCGAAG
rnacentral:rRNA from 1 species